GACGAACGCUGGCGGCGUGCUUAACACAUGCAAGUCGAACGGAAAGGCCCUGCUUGCAGGGUACUCGAGUGGCGAACGGGCGAGUAACACGUGGGUGAUCUGCCCUGCACUUCGGGAUAAGCUUGGGAAACUGGGUCUAAUACCGGAUAGGAGCCAUCUUUAGUGUGGUGGUUGGAAAGUUUUUUCGGUGUAGGAUGAGCUCGCGGCCUAUCAGCUUGUUGGUGGGGUAAUGGCCUACCAAGGCGGCGACGGGUAGCCGGCCUGAGAGGGUGUACGGCCACAUUGGGACUGAGAUACGGCCCAGACUCCUACGGGAGGCAGCAGUGGGGAAUAUUGCACAAUGGGCGCAAGCCUGAUGCAGCGACGCCGCGUGGGGGAUGAAGGCCUUCGGGUUGUAAACUCCUUUCGCUAGGGACGAAGCUUUUUGUGACGGUACCUAGAUAAGAAGCACCGGCUAACUACGUG
rnacentral:rRNA from 1 species